GACGAACGCUGGCGGCGUGCUUAACACAUGCAAGUCGAACGGAAAGGCCCUGCUUUUGUGGGGUGCUCGAGUGGCGAACGGGUGAGUAACACGUGAGUAACCUACCCUUGACUUUGGGAUAACUUCAGGAAACUGGGGCUAAUACCGGAUAGGAGCUCCUGCUGCAUGGUGGGGGUUGGAAAGUUUCGGCGGUUGGGGAUGGACUCGCGGCUUAUCAGCUUGUUGGUGGGGUAGUGGCUUACCAAGGCUUUGACGGGUAGCCGGCCUGAGAGGGUGACCGGCCACAUUGGGACUGAGAUACGGCCCAGACUCCUACGGGAGGCAGCAGUGGGGAAUAUUGCACAAUGGGCCGAAGCCUGAUGCAGCAACGCCGCGUGCGGGAUGACGGCCUUCGGGUUGUAAACCGCUUUCGCCUGUGACGAAGCGUGAGUGACGGUAAUGGGUAAAGAAGCACCGGCUAACUACGUG
rnacentral:rRNA from 1 species